UCGGAUCCGUGGGUUGGAACGUUGUAGUUAAGAGAGAAACCAAACCAGUCAGUCCUCCAAGCAUCACCUCCGGGUCCUCCAACCACCACCAACAGGAUCAGAGUUGGGAUAUGGGGGGAAUGGGGGGCUUUGGGGGGGGUCUCCAUGGUGACAGACCCACAGAACUGCAUACAGGAGUAGAACACAACAUAAUUUAUUACAGUGUGUGGGUUGGAACGGUGUAGGUAAGAGAGAAACCAAACCAGUCGGUCCUCCAAGCACCACCACCGGGUCCUCCAACCACCACCAACAGGAUCAGAAGUGGGAUAUGGGGGGCAAAUGGGGGGCUUUGGGGGGGGUCUCCAUGGUGACAGACCCACAGAACUCCAUAUAGAAUAGAACACAACAUCAUUUAUUACACUGCGUGCGUUGGAACGUUGUAGGUAAGGGAGAAACAAAACCAGUCAGUCCUCCAAGCAUCACCUCCAGGUCCUCCAACCACCACCAAUGGGAUCAGAAGUGGGAUAUGGAGGGGAAUGGGGGUUUUUUGGGGGGUCUCCAUGGUGACAGACCCACAGAACUCCAUAUAGAAUAGAACACAACAUCAUUUAUUACACUGCGUGGGUUGCAACAUUGUAGGUAAGAGAGAAACGAAACCAGUCGGUCCUCCAAGCAUCACCUCUGGGUCCUCCAACCACCACCAACGGGAUCAGAAGUGGGAUAUGGAGGGGAAAUGGGGGUUUUGGGAGGAAACUGGGGUCUUUUUGGGGUCGGUUGCCAUGACGACUAGCGGACGAGGUACUCCUUCCUCUUAUUGAGUCGUGCCUGACACAAAGCAAAGCCUCCCAACAACAGGUAGAGCCCAGCAGCCACGAAACAAUUGGUGCCCACGCGUUCGUACAGCCCAUAAAUUCGCUCCGGACCGCUGGGAUGGAUGGAAAGAAAGGUGUUAGAAAUCGAGGUUGCGGUGUUGGGACGUUGUUGUGGUGUUGUGUUGUUGUGGUGUUGUGUCGUGUUGUUGUUGUGGUGGUGCGUUGUGGUGUUGUGUCGUUGUGUCAUGGUGUUGUUGUGGCGUUGUGUUGUUGUGUCAUGAUACUGUUGUGGUGGUGUGUCGCUGUGUCAUGGUGCUGUGGUGUUGUGUCGUUGUGUCAUUGUGUCAUGAUGCUGUUGUGGUGUUGUGUUGUGUCAUGAUGUUGUGGUGGUGUGUUGUGGAGUUGUGUCGUUGUGUCAUGAUGUUGUGGUGUUGUGUCGUGCUCUUGUGUUGGUGCGUUGUGGUGUUGUGUCG
rnacentral:lncRNA from 1 species